rnacentral:rRNA from 1 species
UACGUAGGGUGCAAGCGUUGUCCGGAAUUAUUGGGCGUAAAGAGCUUGUAGGCGGUCUGUUGCGUCUGCUGUGAAAACCCGAGGCUCAACCUCGGGCCUGCAGCCGAUACGGGCAGACUAGAGUUCGGCAGGGGAGACUGGAAUUCCUGGUGUAGCGGUGAAAUGCGCAGAUAUCAGGAGGAACACCGGUGGCGAAGGCGGGUCUCUGGGCCGAUACUGACGCUGAGGAGCGAAAGCGUGGGGAGCGAACAGG